UGGGGAAUAUUGCACAAUGGGCGCAAGCCUGAUGCAGCCAUGCCGCGUGUAUGAAGAAGGCCUUCGGGUUGUAAAGUACUUUCAGCGGGGAGGAAGGCGAUAAGGUUAAUAACCUUGUCGAUUGACGUUACCCGCAGAAGAAGCACCGGCUAACUCCGUGCCAGUAUCCGCGGUAAUACGGAGGGGGCAAGCGUUAAUCGGAAUUACUGGGCGUAAAGCGCACGCAGGCGGUCUGUCAAGUCGGAUGUGAAAUCCCCGGGCUCAACCUGGGAACUGCAUUCGAAACUGGCAGGCUAGAGUCUUGUAGAGGGGGGUAGAAUUCCAGGUGUAGCGGUGAAAUGCGUAGAGAUCUGGAGGAAUACCGGUGGCGAAGGCGGCCCCCUGGACAAAGACUGACGCUCAGGUGCGAAAGCGUGGGGAGCAAACA
rnacentral:rRNA from 1 species